CUUGCUAUGCUGCUUCAGAGAAUGCCUCCGCCUCCGAACCCUUAGGCACUUAGGAUUUAUUUUGCUUGCCUAUUGUUUUUGCUUCUGUCUUCUUUUGACUCUGAUGUUUUUCUUGUUCUUUUGAACCUGAUGUUUUGUUUGUUGCCUUUGUGCUUCUAUCUAUGAAUUUUAAGUUUUUCUCUUUAUCUAUUUUUUUUUUCUCUUUACUUAUUUUUACUAUGUCUUUUUGAUUCUGACAAAAAGGGGGAGAAAGUAAUUAUUAGCUCUGAUGAAAAUAUUGUCUAAAACCAUCAAGCAUUCUGCAACAUUUUUUUUAUAUAAACAAAAUUAUCUAACUUGGACUUAAGAAAUUGCAGAAAAUCUCAGAAACCUCUUUACUUAAGAAACUCUGGUAAGAACUUCAGAACCUCUGAACUCCCUAGUACUAUCUCAGGGGGAGCUUCUGUCUAUCUGAUCUAUUUUUAUUCAUGUUUCAUCUGCUAAUUAAAGUUGUUUUGUCAUCAUCAAAAAGGGGGAGAUUGUAAGAACAAAAAUUGUGAUACAACAGAUUCCUUGAUUUUG
rnacentral:lncRNA from 1 species